rnacentral:rRNA from 1 species
GACAGAGGUGCCAAGCGUUAGGCGGAGUCACUGGGCUUAAAGCGUGUGUAGGCGGGUGCCUAAGUACCUUGUGAAAAUCCCACGGCUCAACCGUGGAACUGCUGGGUAUACUGGGUGCCUUGGGUCAUCUAGGGGCUGCCGGAACAAAUGGUGGAGCGGUGAAAUGCGUAGAUAUCAUUUGGAACGCCAACGGCGAAAGCAGGCAGCUGGGGAUGCACCGACGCUGAGACACGAAAGCCAGGGGAGCGAACGGG